rnacentral:rRNA from 1 species
GAUGAACGCUGGCGGCGUGCCUAAUACAUGCAAGUCGAGCGAACGGACGAGAAGCUUGCUUCUCUGAUGUUAGCGGCGGACGGGUGAGUAACACGUGGAUAACCUACCUAUAAGACUGGGAUAACUUCGGGAAACCGGAGCUAAUACCGGAUAAUAUUUUGAACCGCAUGGUUCAAAAGUGAAAGACGGUCUUGCUGUCACUUAUAGAUGGAUCCGCGCUGCAUUAGCUAGUUGGUAAGGUAACGGCUUACCAAGGCAACGAUGCAUAGCCGACCUGAGAGGGUGAUCGGCCAAACUGGAACUGAGACACGGGCCAGACUCCUACGGGAGGCAGCAGUAGGGAAUCUUCCGCAAUGGGCGAAAGCCUGACGGAGCAACGCCGCGUGAGUGAAGAAGGUAUUCGGAUCGUAAAACUCUGUUAUUAGGGAAGAACAUAUGUGUAAGUAAAUGUGCACAUCUUGAAGGUACCCAACCAGAAAGCCAAGGCCAACUACGUG